CCAAUCCCUGUUUUACAGUAACAGAAUAUUACUGUUGUUGCCAUGUUGAAAUACUUCACUUUAUUAUAAAGGUCAUGUAUAAUUACCUCCAGUGUCCCAGAUAAAUGGACAGUAUAUUUAACUAGUUUUAGAUAAGUUUAUACAGUUAGUCAACAGUUUCAUUAUCCAUUAAAAACAUUAUAUAACUUUUGUAUGUACCAUAUUUUCAUGUGUUUCUCUUUUUGUCUCUCAUUGAGCAGGUAAUUAUGGUGAAAACCAAGUGGUCUUUGUUACUUAGUUAUGGUGUUGGUGUGAGAAAGUCCAGUUUUACAUACAGUAGUGUUACUUGUUUUCUGUGUGCGGGUUCUCUAGUUGAAACUGGUAACAUACUUCUGAAAGCUUUGAACAUUGCUUGUGUUCAUGCAGGUUGUUCGUAAACUGGGUAUGGUAGAGGCUGAUCUGGAACUAGUGGACGAACGUGAUGAAACUGGUGAAUCGUAAGUCAGACACAGCUAGAACCAGUUUGUGACAAUCAUGCAUGGCAACCCACCCCCCAGUAUUUUUGAUUCUGGUGUUUAGAAUCGUGUAACAGAAUAAGUUGACAGAUGAUGAAUGUUGGAAUGGAACCAUUUUCAGGGUUAUUUUUUAUAAUGCCAGGUUGUUGCCUAUUUUACUAAUUUGCUGAAAGUUUUAGUAACAUAACUAGAGAUUGUCUAAUUUUUGUGUUAAUAACUGUCCCAAAGAAUUUCAGGUGUAUGUUUAGCCUGAUUUAAUUAACAAAACCUGUGGAUUGAUGCAUAGUCAAUAAUCUCUGUGCAUGUGUGCAUGAUUUGUAGAUGGCUCGCAGGAUUGCUGUGUUAGAAGCAGACUUGGAACGAGCAGAGGAGAGAGCACAAGGAGGAGAGAGUAAAAUUACUGGUCUUGAGGAAGAAUUACGAAUAGUCGGAAAUAACCUGAAGUCCCUGGAAGUCAGUGAAGAGAA